rnacentral:rRNA from 1 species
CCUACGGGGGGCAGCAGUGGGGAAUAUUGCACAAUGGGGGAAACCCUGAUGCAGCGACGCCGCGUGAGUGAAGAAGUAUCUCGGUACGUAAAGCUCUAUCAGCAGGGAAGAAAAUGACGGUACCUGACUAAGAAGCCCCGGCUAACUACGUGCCAGCAGCCGCGGUAAUACGUAGGGGGCAAGCGUUAUCCGGAUUUACUGGGCGUAAAGGGAGCGUAGACGGGAGCUCUAGUCUGGAGUGAAAUCCCGGGGCUUAACCCCGGAACAGCUUUGGAAACUGUGCGGCUGGAGUGCAGGAGGGGUAAGCGGAAUUCCUAGUGUAGCGGUGAAAUGCGUAGAUAUUAGGAGGAACACCGGUGGCGAAGGCGGCUUACUGGACUGUAACUGACGUUGAGGCACGAAAGCGUGGGGAGCAAACAGGAUUAGAUACCCUUGUAGUC